GAAAUGCGAUAAGUAAUGUGAAUUGCAGAAUUCAGUGAAUCAUCGAAUCUUUGAACGCACAUUGCGCCCGCCAGCACUCUGGCGGGCAUGCCUGUUCGAGCGUCAUUUCAACCCUCAGAACCCCUUGCGGGAUCUGGCGUUGGGGAUUGGCAUCCAGUCAGCCCCGAAAUCUAGUGGCGGUCCCUCCGCGACCUCCCCUGUGCAGUAGCGAUACCUCGCAGCGGGACAGCGGUCUGACCACGCCGUAGAACCCCCAACUUCUCAAGGUUGACCUCGAAUCAGGUAGGAAUACCCGCUGAACUUAAGC
rnacentral:misc_RNA from 1 species